UGACUCACAGCUAAUCAGUAGAGUGCGUCAUUUAGUAUAUACCAAUGAUGAGAGUCACAAAGUGACGCUUUUGGCCUCAUUUGAGAUGUUUUUUUUUUGCGGUUCUGCCACUGAGCUAUGCUUGAUGCUUCCUUCCAUCAGUCUCUUCUUUCUUCUUCUUCUACGGCCAUCGGAUUCUUCUCUCUUCCUGCCCCUAUCGCCAUCGCUCACUCAGUACGACAUCGAAGAAGUUCAGCAACCACACAGCAGGAGAUAGUUUGAAUUGAGUUCCAUCAAGAAUAAGCUAAUGGGUUCCAUCAUUCUUUUUGUGCAGAAAGAUAUUCAAGGGAGGAUUGACAAAGAACAAGCGGUUCUUUGCUUUGUUCAGCUCCCCGGCAUUGGUUACAAUUCUGAGUUCAGUUGCGUCUGAAUUUGGUUUGAAUGUUGGAGCUUUUGGGAUUAAUUUGGGUUUGUUUCUGUUGACAACUACAGAUGCAGAGAGGGAAACUGUAUGUUGGAUAUUAUGCGGCUAUGAAGGGGUUCUCUGCUUUGCUUAUCGGCAUUGAUAUCAGGAACAGUGAGCUGUCAAAAUCUCCAAGUAUUUCAAAUUUAGUGAUGGCAUCGAAAACUGUAGCAAGAGAAACAAAGAGAAUGCUAGGACAGUGUGAUGGCAUUCAGAAUUCUGCUUCAACGAGAAUUGAUAGCUCAAGAAGAUCAAAGAUGUGGAAAACAGUUGAGAGGUGAGAAAAAAGAGGAGAAAGUUGAUACAGGCAAGAAAAGAACUCCCCGGGCAAAGGAGGUUGUUGACAAGGAACUACUGCAGAUUUUAAGAAAUUAAAGUUGAAUCAGCUUUGGAACUGAUUUUGGGCAAUUCUGUUAGGUUUACAGCUGACAAUUGAUCUUUGCUACAAGACCUGCAACUGCCUCUUCAAUCCAAAGAUUCAGAAAUUUGAGGACAUUUUGAAAGAAUUUAUAUCAGCAGACUGACUUCAACUGAAUCAUAUCAUUCACGAGGCAUUAGGCAAGCUAUGUUGCUGCGUUUCCUUACCCCCCACAUUUCUUGGACUGUGGUAGAACUUCAAAAUGGCAAUGAUGCACCGAACCUCAGGAGAGAUCAAAGAUUUUGGUCAAUUUUUGGAGGAAUCUUUAGCAUUGUUUCAGAAGAAGUGGCUGCUAAAAUUUUGAUCCAAAACUGUUUCAUUCAGUUAUCUACAAUUCUGCUCUUGAGUGAGUUUUUUCUUUCUAAAUUUUGUGUAUUAGUAUAUUAACAUGUGAAUGAAAAUAAUUUGGCUUUAAAUAAGUUUCAAUUUGAAUGGAGAUCAAACUAA